AUUGAACGCUGGCGGCAGGCUUAACACAUGCAAGUCGAGCGGGGGAAGGUAGCUUGCUACCGGACCUAGCGGCGGACGGGUGAGUAAUGCUUAGGAAUCUGCCUAUUAGUGGGGGACAACAUCUCGAAAGGGAUGCUACUACCGCAUACGUCCUACGGGAGACAGCAGGGGAUCUUCGGACCUUGCGCUAAUAGCUGAGCCUAAGUCGGAUUAGCUAGUUGGUGGGGUAAAGGCCUACCAAGGCGACGAUCUGUAGCGGGUCUGAGAGGAUGAUCCGCCACACUGGGACUGAGACACGGCCCAGACUCCUACGGGAGGCAGCAGUGGGGAAUAUUGGACAAUGGGGGGAACCCUGAUCCAGCCAUGCCGCGUGUGUGAAGAAGGCCUUAUGGUUGUAAAGCACUUUAAGCGAGGAGGAGGCUACUCUAGUUAAUACCUAGGGAUAGUGGACGUUACUCGCAGAAUAAGCACCGGCUAACUCUGUGCCAGCCGCCGCCGUAA
rnacentral:rRNA from 1 species